rnacentral:rRNA from 1 species
AUUGAACGCUGGCGGCAUGCCUUACACAUGCAAGUCGAACGGCAGCACGGGAGCAAUCCUGGUGGCGAGUGGCGAACGGGUGAGUAAUGUAUCGGAACGUGCCCAGUCGUGGGGGAUAACGUAGCGAAAGCUACGCUAAUACCGCAUACGAGCUAUGGAUGAAAGCGGGGGAUCGCAAGACCUCGCGCGAUUGGAGCGGCCGGUAUCAGAUUAGGUAGUUGGUGGGGUAAAGGCUCACCAAGCCGACGAUCUGUAGCUGGUCUGAGAGGACGACCAGCCACACUGGGACUGAGACACGGCCCAGACUCCUACGGGAGGCAGCAGUGGGGAAUUUUGGACAAUGGGCGAAAGCCUGAUCCAGCAAUGCCGCGUGCAGGAUGAAGGCCUUCGGGUUGUAAACUGCUUUUGUACGGAACGAAACGGCGAACUUUAAUACAGUUUGCUAAUGACGGUACCGUAAGAAUAAGCACCGGCUAACUACGUGCCAGCCGCCGCAGUAA